AGGAACGUUCUGGCACCUGGCUGAGUAACAAAAAGACCUGGUCAGGUUUUGAAGGGUCUGGUGAGAGGUCUGGAAUGCAGGCGUUGGAGGCGCAGGGAAGGAGGAGAUGACAUGAACGCAGUCCCUGCUACCGAAGCUCACGCAGUCCGGUUCCCCACGUAGUGGUAAAUCAGAGGUGUGGUGUGCGUGAGGUGCAAGAAGUGGAUGGAAAAAAGGCAACAAGCUCUAACAACAUUGUGAUGUGUUUCCCUUGCAAGCCAGCCCUGGAAGAAGGGGAAAGUGCUCAGUGAUGUCCUUCAAACACCAUGCCUGCACCUAGAUGGGCUUUGGCUGCUGCACUGACAGCACAAGCACAGCAGGAAGCAAGUGGAAAUGGGCCCUCAGGGCUCUUGGACCAGGAGAACAUUUCUGAGCUAUUGCUGCUGCACGGCCCAGCCUAUGGGAAGUAUUGACCACAGAGACCCUGUCAGAUCCACCAGAGGCAACAAACUGCUGUAUAUCUGAAACAAGAAACUGCGCACCUUCACCAGGAUGCCUUUUGCCUUGAGAGCUGGAAAGAAAGGUUGUGAACGUUAAGAGCAUCUAAGAAAUACCGUGUGUCGCUUUUCCAUAGCAAAGGUAAGAGAUCUAGGCAAAUACUGCUGGUACCUGCAGUUUGGGGGAGACUGUAUUAGUGGUUAGCAGCUAAGUCUUUCCUCACUGGUGAGGUGUUGCACAGCCCUCAGCAGACAGUGAUUAGAAACACACUUGAAAGCGCCAGUUGUUCCCCCUGCACCCAGAGCAACGUGAGAGUCCACUGUAUUCCUUAAUAACCCGGCACAGAUGGUGCAUUGCAUGCUUUGGAGGACUCUGACCCGCUUCUCUGCUUAGUGCAAAACCUGCUGCUGCUUCUUAGUUAUACAAAAACAAGAAAAUGUCCUGUUUGGGCUAGAUUGGAGUCUGUAAUCCUGGUGCCAUCAGUCAGAUUGAAAGGCCAGUUCCUUAAAAAGGAAAAAGCUCAGUUGUUAUACCAUGAAUAUAUACACAUGGAUAAAGCAGAGAAGGCUUUGACGUUCACAGCCCUUUGUGCAACAUUCCUGUCGUAUCACAAACACAUCAGCCUACAUGCUUUGCUAAUUGUGUUAUGCUCCAAAGCAGUCAGGGCCUGAUGGUGCCCAAUGAAGACCAACAGCACACAGCUGCCAUGUGCUUUGCAAAACUUGACUUCAGCUGUGCAGCUUGAUGCUGAUACGUGGUUUAACAUUGUAUACCUUCAGAACAGGGAGAAUCCAGGCAGACUUUCAUUUUAAGGUAAUUUCCCUACUGAACACCCUUCUGAGGAUCAAAUCUGUAUUUUGACAUAUCUGUAGUAAAAACUUUGGUGCAGAGUUGUAAUUGUAGGCAUGUGCAUGAAUCUCUGAAUCAAGGAGCCCACAUGCCCCUGAUCAGUUUGGGAUGUUAUCCAGAAAUAAAGCCCAACAGCAGCCCUUAAGACAAACAAACUGUAAACUGUAUUUCUUUGUUUAUAUCAUUAGAUAUGAUGCAGCCAAAGUUCAUAGUCACAAGGUUGAACAUCACCUAGCUGGAAAAAGCUAAAACAAAUGAAUGGUGUCACUAAAUUAAACUUAUGUUGGCUAACAGCUAUGGGCUGCAGUGGCAUUCAGAGCCAUGGAGUGUGCGAUUCUCUCGCUGCCACCAGGACAGGGGCAUGUAGGUGGUUUGUGGCUGCUGAGAUAGCUUUGGU